rnacentral:lncRNA from 1 species
UGAAGUUUGGCAAAAUGCCAAAGUCCCACAUUGGUUGGGAGUUAAGUUUGGGCGAGAUUUUUCCCCUAUAAAAGAAGGUCUAAUGUUUAGGAUUGAAACACACCUCUCAUUUGCCUUCUCAUCUGUUUAAGGCAUUUGUAUCUUCUCUCUUUAGUAUUAUUUCACUUGUAUUUUGGAGUGAAAUAAAAUAUUGGUUGUGUCCGAGGAGUAGGCAAAAUUAGCCGAACCUCGUAAAUUCUGGUGUUCCCUUUAUUGUUGUUUUAUUGUCUUAUUUAUUAUUUGGUGGCUGUCAUAAUUUUGGUAUAGUAGUUGUGACUUAUUCACACUAUAUACAUUUGGCUUCCGCAACAGUUACGUAUCGUUUCAUAAUGUAAUGUAUUAUAUUGUAUUGUAUCAUUUGAUGAAUACAAUAUUUGAAUAAGUUAUAUUGUUUGUCGUUGUUUUAUGAUAUCACGCAUCAACAAUAUGAAAAAUAAACUUGUAAUAUUAUAAUAAAAAAAAUCUGAUACGGGGUAAAACUAUUAUAUAAAGAGGUAAGGUAAAUAAUAAAAUAAAAUUAUUUAAUAAUAAUGAAGGGUGAGAUUAGAGAAAAGGACAAGGUAACGACGCGACCAUACCAAAUCGGUCGUUACAUAAAGUUCACAUUUCGUCGUAACGACGAAUUUAACAAUACGAUAUAAUAAAAUUUAAAUAACAAUCAAAACAAGUAUCGUAUUUAAAGUAACAAUACGAUACAAUACAAUAGGUAACAACCAUCCAAAUAAGUUGCAAGUUACUUUUUUGCCUAACAGAAUACCAAAAUAUGACCAACAAAUAAGUUUUCUAAUUAAUCUAUUUUACCACAACAGCGCAAGUAACAUCUUUCAAGAAAAUAAAUACCAAAGACACCAUCAUCUCUUUUAUCUUCUUUUUUCUGUUUAUUUUACGGGUCAGUUGAUGGGACAAAUGAAUUUAAGCUUUGAUCUCUUGGAUUAAGCAAAAUGAGAUAAAGAAACAAGGAGGAAGGGAGCAAACAUAAAAUGUAUCUGGUGAAUUUAAGGAGAACGAGAUAAACAAGUAAAUAAUAGAGAGGAGGGUAUAAUCAUGUCUCAAAUUAAUAAUGUAAUUUUAAGUCUUUCCAGACAAAUGAAUUUUGCUAGGUAGAGUUUGAGACAUUAUUUAAGCCUUGAAUAUUGGCGAGAGUUUCUCAACAGCUAAUGGAACGCAAACAUUUCUGAGACUAUGUACGUCUUAAGUAGGGGUGACAAAAUAGUUAAAAGAAAACAGUUCACCACCCAUAUUAUCCACUAAAAAACGGGUUAGAUAAUAAACUUUAAAAACGAGUCAAAUAUGGAUAAGAAGUAAGAACCAUAUUAUCCAUUUAAAAAAUGGGUAACCAAUAAGUCUAACUUUUACAUUUAUAAAGCUUCAAAUUGGGGGUUACUCAAGCUAGGGAUACUAAAAAUUCUCACAAAAGUGAUCAUAUGCAAGAAGUCAUGGAUAAUAUGGGUAAUCAUAUUAUCCACCGAUUAACCUUUUUUUAUCCGUAUUAAAUAUGGGUCGGGUCGGAUAAUUUAUCCGUUUUUCAUUACCCGUUUUGGGAUAAUCCUAUUUACAAAGAAAACUCUGCCAAAAAUUUUAAAAAUUUAGAGAGUUAGAAAUUUUUUGAGUUAUCAAAUUGGUCAUUCAAUAGUCUAAUGUUAGAUUUUGAUAACAAGACUGAAGAUUGAAGUUUGAAAAAUCUUUUCAAUUGCUAGGUUAAAGGUAUGGUCAGUUAGUAUAUAAAUUAUUGGGUUUGGAAUAAUAAUAAUAAUAAUAAUAAUAAUAAUAAUAAUAAUAAUAAUAAUAAUAAUAAUAAUAAUGUGCCUAGCACCCUUCAUGGGUGGAGUAGUCCUAAACCCCAAACAUCUUCUACUCCCAUAUAAGAAAGUGCUCAAGCUCUACGAAUUAAAAAAAAAACAUAUUUUCUUUAAUUUGUUUCAAGGUAAAUAAGCUUUAUUCGAAAAUCCUCAAAGUAGAUCAAAAGAUAUAUGCAGGUACACUAAAUUCAUAUAUGAGUCAUAUUGAUGCAUCUUUCCUUUUGACAUCAUGCAUCACGAUUGAUCACAUUAACAACUAUAAUCCACUAUAUUCAUAACUAGUGCGAUAUAAACUAAUACAAUUCCGUCAUAUAAAUACUAAAUAAUAAUUUGUGAAUGUUGCGAAAAUAAAUAAGUAAAAUUACAUUAUAUCAAAGCCUCCCAAGUCCUUGAGAUCUAAUAUACCCAAUAAACACAUUUCUUGACAUUGGCUCAACAGCUGACAUAGAGGGAGGGACUAUAUAGAUUUGGCUUUUCAUAGCCAUCAGUAGCAAUCUCUUUCACAUUGAACUCCUCUUGUAAUUCUUGAACUAUAUCUCUUUUCUGUGUGCAAUAAUAGCAGACAUCAUACCAGUAAUGAUUCCCAUAUACAAUACAGCCAUUCCAUUUGGUAGCCCUGCUUGAAUCAAGUCAAAGUAGAAACAUAAAUAAAGCAUUAGUAAGUUACUAUGCAUAGAAAAGAGAUUCCUUAAGUAGAAACUUAUGUCUCAUAGAGAGAUUUUCUGCUAAAAUUUAUUGGAUUAUAGAUGAUCUUAAAAACAAGUUGGAUUAGGAAGAAAAAAAAAAAGAUAACUCAAAAAAUUUCUUUAUUAUUGAAUGACCAAGUUGAUGUGAUAUUGUUUUGUGAUGUAAUAGUAUUCGAAGAUGUUACGGCAGAUUUUUGCUUAAAAAAUAAUAGACUGGAGAGUUGUUUGAUAUGGUUUGUCUGUUGUUGAUUCUGGUUUGUUGUAUGUUGUUAAAGAGAUUAAAUAUUAUUGUAACAGACGGGAAAGUUGAAAAUUACUCUUGUGUAUAGCAUAAUGUUGUUUUGAACAGGUUAAAUUUUUUGGGAUAGUCCUAUUUACAAAAGAAACUCUGCCGAAAAUUUUAAAAAUUUAGAGAGUUAGAAAUUUUUGGAGUUAUCAAAUUGGUCAUUCAACACUCUAAUGUAGGACAAGACUGGAGAAGAGCAGUUAAUUAGCAACACUUUGUUAUUCAAUUUUCUUAAAACUUUCUUUGUUUAAUUAUUUGUGAUUGAAUUUUGUAGGUGCAUCGAUUGCGGAUGAAAGCAGUGAUGAAGACCUUGCUUGACUUUUGUUGAUCGUUGUUAGACAUUCUAUCAUCAAGGAUAUUUUGGUUUAGAACUUUUUGUAUGCAAAUUAAAACUCAUCUAUUUUGACUUUUGAAUUGUUGAUCAAACAAUGCAUUCAUAUUUUGUUUUUGUAUAUGGAUAAUGCGAGUUAGAUAUUUUAAUCUUAUUUCGUGGUUUCUACAAGUUAUGAUGUAUAAAAUUUCAUUGCAUAGGAAAAUAUUCCUCAUUUUGCUUCCAUAAAUAUUAGAAAUUACAAUAGUGAAUUGUUGCAACAGACAAUAUAACCGUUCCAGUAGACCUAGCAAAAGAACAAUAGUAUCCCUCUAAUAAUCGUUGCAAUAGGAUAUAGAUAAUUGUUCCAAUAUAUAACAAAAUCGUUACAAUAUAUCAUGAAAACCGUCACAAGACUUAAAAAUUCGUUAGCACAAUUAUAACACAACGGUUUAUAACCGUUCCAACACAACAGAAAAUCGUUCCCAUAGAGUGGUCAUUGGUUGCAGUUAUAACCGUUACAAUAGCCAUAUACGGAGACGGUUUGAAAACCGUUACAUAUAACCGUUCUAGUUGACCUAUUGUAACUAGGGGUGUUCAUAAAAAUCCGAAAACCCGAACCAAACCAAACCAACCAAAAAAACCGAUACUUUUUUGUUUGGUUUGGUUUUGGUUUUGAAAUUUAAAAACCGAUCAAAUUUGGUUUGGUUUUGGUUUUAAUUAAAAAAAACCGAACCAAACCGAAUAUAAGAGUAGCUAUUUUUAAAUUUAUUAUUAUUACACCUAUAUAUAUGUAUACUUUUAUACAAAGUUUUAAAAAUUUUAUACUAAAUAUUAAUCGUUUGCAUUUUUAGUACAAUUCUUUACCUUUACAUUCUAGUUUAAUUGGUAGUUUUCUUUUGUUAAGUGUAAAAAUCUAUUUCAUGUUAAAAAUAAUAUUUUUGUAAUCGAGUCCUUAAAUUAUUCAUCACUAUUUGAUUCAAUUAUCAUCAAUAUAUCUUGGUAACUAAUAAAUUUCUCAAAGGGCAAUUGAUUUGAUAGUGUUACGUUGAAAAUGUGGUCGCCAAAAUGUGUUUGGUAGUGUAUGUCUUAUAUUUGAGAAAAAAUCGACAAAUAACCGAAAAAACCGAUCGAGAAACCGACUUAAUUGAUUUGGUUUGGUUCUAAUAUUUAAAAAACCGACUUACUUGGUUUGGUUUCUUUUUAGGGAAAAACCGAUCCAAACCGAACCAUGAGCCUCCCUAAUUGUAACGCUGAAUCUUGGAACACGUCCCAAACUGUCCCAUUAUCCCUACAGGGACGGUUUCAGUAUCUAUAGGUACGGUUUUGAAAGGGUUGCCGCAGGUUUAAUUUCUAGUAGUGUAAGGUAGAAAGUAAUGACUGCCCAAGGUAAAACUAUCUCGGCCAGUACAAGUAGGACAAAGGAUGAGCAUAGCUGCAGGAGGCCAAUCCGUCAUACACCGCUGCAUUCCCAGGCCAUCGAUAUAGCUGACCAUGACUCCCUAUUUGCCCGGGUGUACUAUCAACUCUUUCCUGCUGUAGCCAUGGAUUUGGAACAUGUGAGUGCUUCGGUUCUUUGUUGCUGAACUUUCUAGACGACUCAGUUUCAUCAAUUUUUCUCUUUUGUGCCAUCUUCGCACCUCUGGCAAUUUUUUUGUUGUUAAGGUUCUCACCUACGGUAAUUUCUUUCUCCAAGCUCAUUAUUUUCUCAUUGAUUUGCCACCCGGGAAGAAGUUCUGAAGGAUCAAUAUCAUGAAGUCCCAAACAUUUGAUGACAGAUCUCAGAUCAAACAAGUGCCUCCUUUUUGCUUGAUCCUGUACAAAAUAACAAAAUGUACGGUUAACCUGAGCAGAUCAGGAGAUAAAUCAGGGAGGGAGGGCUAUCAGUGCUGGAAAGAAAUUCAAGAAUUACCACAACAGCAAGUGAACCUUGUGAUUGUUCCACCAUUUUCUUCAAUGACUCUUCAGACUCAAGUAAAAAUGAUGUCAAAAAUCUCUUAGGGUUAACUCUGUCCUCAAUUCCAAAGGUAUAGGCAAUAUGAGCAGCAUCAACUUCCAUCUUUUGCUUUGCCAUCUCCUCUAUUAUAUCUGCCGUAGAUUUACAUAAGUGUUAAGUAGGUGAUAGAUUAGCAACUACGACAAGGUCAAAUGUAUUAUUUGAGAUAAAGAAAAGGUAUCAAACACUACAAAAUGAAUCAUAUAAAGAUAUAAUCACACAAUAAGGCUUCAUCUCUGAAAUCAGGAACAACGAAAACAAACAAAUAAGGUGGAAUGUAACCUCCAAGCAGAUAUGAGGUUGAAAAGAGGUCCAUCACUUUUACAGUUUACAUAAAUUGGAAAGUGUAAAAAUGCAAAUCUCAACACCAACCACUGAUUUAUAUUGCGAUUAAAGAACUCCAAAAUUACAACUGACAAGAGUAACAACACGAUUUCUAACAGAUCGCAACUAAGAAGAGAAUCUGGAAAUAAUAGAGAAAUAAGUAACCAGAAGGGGAUGAGGAACAUAGAUGAAAGGAGAUGAGAAAACAGAGCCAAACCAUUGGCAACUUCAACCUCCAAAAUGCUCUGAGCCCUUUUGCUACGUUUAUAACUAAUUUCUCACCCACACUUUUGCUCAACUUCACAUGCUCAGCCUAUGUCCCACAUAAAGUUAUUUUGCAUUUCAUCCGUGGCAUCCGUCAUGGAAUCAUAGUCAGCUUGGUACACUUGCUCGUUCGCAAGAAUACUCCCAUCCUCAAUAAGAACCUUGUCCUCAAGGUUCAAGGUAGGAAAUCCAGACAACAAUGAGUUAAAUUACAACUUUUGGUUCUCUAGUAGUUACGCUAGUGUGCAUAAUGAUGCAAAUAUCAGUCUUCUGUUUAUGAAAAAGUUCAUGAGCCAAACUUCCUGUUCUAACAGAUCUUCUCAAGAUAAGCUAGAUAAUACUUCCUCAGCUUCACUUUUUUUUUUUUUUUUUUGAGAUGAUAACAGUACUCCUCAGCUUCACUUAUUUGUGUGCUGGAAAUGUUUCCAAAACUUGUCAGAUCAUGCAGCAUGCCAGCUUUUAGAUCAUUGUUUAUUCCUGUUUCACAGCCAGCAACAGCAGUUAUUUCACCGUCACCAUCAGUUUCAGCUCCAUUAUGGAAAAGCAGUAAAAAUUGGACCAGGGAAGUAGUACUCAAAUAAGCACAAAGCCUAAACCCUCUUUGUAACCAGUAAUCCAAUACAUCCUCCGAAAUAGAAGGUCACCAAAUUCAGUCAUGAUUUGAUGGAAUGAUGAUGUGGUCAUCAGUGUAAAGGAGUAAGUUCGUCAUCUUAGAACCCCAAGAGCUUCUCCUGCUUGUUGGUGAAUCCUCAAUAAUUAUCUCCUGGCCACCCUCGCUAAACUGUAUAAGAAAAAGAGAACUCCCAUAUGAAUUUUUAUUUUUUGCAAGCAAUGGGCCCUUCAUCCUUUUCAACAUAGUGAACCAGCUAGGAAAUGCUCUGUACUUUAGAGGUGUAGCAAGUUUCAAGCCACCGGGGUAGGAAUGCAUUAACUCCCCUAAUUUGGCAAGCUUUCUCUUCUCUUUCAUAUUUAGAGCAGUAGCAAUUAGCUCAAUUGGUUUAGUGGCUUCUAAUACUUAUCAAAAAUUGAAGUCCCCUAGCCCAUUACCACCAUAAUUCAUAUUACUGUUCUCGUUGGAUCAAACAUGGAAUAAAGUCAGCAAUCCUUAACACGCAAACCGAUUUUAAUUUACAGAUCAACAAUUAAAGCAAAAAAUACAUAUAUACCGAAUUUCUUACUUGUUUGUCCUAAUUUGAGUCUCUUCUUUCUGCGUUCGACCAAGAUAUUCUGUUAUACUUUUGCCACUAAAUAAUGUAUGGGAACCUCAUCUCAGUACAUCGAAGAAAUACUAGUUACAUAAAACAAUCAACUUUAUCAACUAUGCCUCAAUCUCAACCUAGUAGGGUACUUGGGUUCAAUUAUAUGAAAAUACUUGCGUCAAUUGCGCUCUAUUCAGGUUCAUUUCAUUCCAAUACUAAAUAAUUUGACUACCACCGACAAAUUAGGAUUCCAAUACUAUGAAUUCUCAAAAUUAUACAUUUAUCCCUACACUUGCUGUAAGUGCAACAACAAAAACUAAGCCUUAAUCUCAAUCAAUUGGUAUCACCCAUAUGGAUCCUCUCAUUUUGAUAUGUUCUAAGCCAAAUAUGCACUGAUUUUGUAAGUUUUUAGGUCCUUUAAGACAACUUCCCUCCAUGGGGUUUAUGAUUAGUAAGUCCAAUUUUAUCACGUUCAGCCAUCAUAUUAUUACACCUACCAUCCGGGCACAUGGAGGUCUACUCACCAAUUUUGACCUUUCAUUUUCUCCUCUAUGCGUUACUUGCACCAUCUGUUGGAUGUGAUUAUUUCUAACUUAAUCAAAUCUUAUAGAGUUAUAUAUUCAUUUUAACAUCCACAUUUUUACGUUCUUCAUUUUUGUGGAUAUGUUGGUAAUUAAAGGCCCAUUCGUUCUCAUAUAAAAUUGUUGGUCUUAAAACCCUUCUACAGAACUUGUCUUCCACUUUGUUAGACAUCCUUUUCUCACAUGACACUUCCGUAACACUCUUUCAUUUUCAUUUUUCCUAUCUUAAUUUUAGGUUUUACAUCCAUCUACUGACAUAAAAGGAAGAAAUAUACAAAGUAAGAAAAUUAUGUUGUGGAAUAAAGAACUUUGAAAAUGAGAUCAUUAGGUAUUUAUUUGUUGCUUCUAGGUAAUCAUGUCCAAUCAGACUAGUUAGAUGGUCACCAAACAAGCACGUCCCAGAGUAGCUAAUGAUGAAAUGCAAAUGUAGCUUAGUGACAAAUUGAAUUCAUGAAAGAAGGACCUGGAAUCUUUGCCAUGAGGACAUUUGAUCUCCUGAGGCUACCAGAAAAUAAAAUUUCUGCGAAUUCUCCCCUGCCCGAUGAAAAUUACCCAAAUCAAAUCCCUGAUAUCCUCAUUUUUAAAUCUUCCUGGAAUUCCGAAACACCCAACAAGCAUCAACAAACCCCGGGCAUCAAUUUCCUUAGCCUUAAGUAUGCCUGCUUCGGCAAUCAACCUCUUUCUCCAUGCUAAAGCUGCCUGCUCCGCCUCUUGCUUCACCCCUAUCUCAAUCUCGUCGCUGAUUCCCAUCAACAAGAAGCACUGCAAAACCAAUACAGAAGCCUUCCUUGCCUGGACCAUUUGCGAGCCCUUAACAAAUGACUUGCCCUUUUGAGUAUAAAACUUGCCAACACAUUCCAAUACAAGCCUUGCUGGAUUACUGGAGAGUCUCAAUGCCUUGGGGACUUGCUCAAGCAGUCCUUUUAUAUCAAAGAGAUGCAUUACCAUGUACCUCCGCAGACCGCGACCAUCCAUCAUUUCGCAGAGGCUUUCCAGCUCUGAGCGAGGAGUAGAUAUCAGCUCUGAACGAGGAGGAAAUCUCACGUCGUCCUCUUCUUUAUCUUCUUCUUUCACUUCUUUUUCGCAGAGGCUCUCCAGCUCUGAACGAGAAGGAAAUCUCACGUCUUCCUCUUCUUUCACUUCUUUUUCGCAGAGGCUCCCCAGCUCUGAACGAUGAGUGGAUAUCAGCUCUGAACAAGGAGGCCAUCUCACGUCUUCCUCUUCUUUGUCUUCUUCUAUCACUUCUUUAUCGCAGAGGCUCUCCAGCUCUAAACGAGGAGGGCAUCUCACGUCUUCCUCUUCUUUGUCUUCUUCUAUCACUUCUUUAUCGCACUCUGAACGAGGAGGGGAUCUCACAUCUUCCUCUUCCUCUUCUUCUUUGUCUUCUCUUUUGCAGACGGUUUCCAGCUCUGAAGGAUGAGUGGAUAUCAGCUCUGAACGAGGAGAGGAUCUCACUUCUUCCUCUUCUUUUUCUUCUUCUUCUUCUUCAGAUGGGUCGGAUUCCCAAGAUGAUUCAGGGACUGGGACUGGGGUUGAUAUUGUGUCUGCGGCUAGGGAAGCCGCUGCUUGAGGUGAUGACGUGGCUAAAGGAGUGGUAUUAGUUGUAUGUGGGGGUAGCAUAGAGUCGAUUGAGGUCCGGAUGGAAUCAACGUGUUGUUGUAGCUCAGUGAGGCAGCGAUGGACCGCCAAAAGGGCACCGGAGAUUUGGCGGAGAUUGGCAAUUGAGUCAUUCUGCAGCGAAUCGUUUACUGUUUGUGCUUGGACUUGGGUGGCCAAUGGUGGCUGCUGCGACUGAGGCGUGGCAGUUGCGGCGAUAUCUACGAUAUCUACCGGUUUACUCAUCGUCGGUUUAGAAGUAGAGAACCCGAUUAUUGAGAAUGGACAAAGUGUAAGAAUCCCCUAAUGCGUCGCCAUUUCCGAUUGCUGAUUGCACAAUUCAUAAACGGACGCUUCUUCCUGCAAUCCUCGCCUUCGCCAUUUUUGUGAGGUUAUUCGCACCAGUAGCAUGUUUAGUGGUGCUGUUUAAAAUGUAACCAUUUAUUUGCAAUGUAUUUAAAAUAUAGUCACAAAUAAAAUAAAAUAAAAUAAAAGUUACCGAGACACGCUUCUAAUUCUUGCUGUGUCCUCAAAUUGAACCCUAACUAUGUGAAUUUUUAUUUUUCACGUUGGAGAGAACUCAACAAAUAAUCCCUAGGUGAGCUUCUUUAAGGAUGGAGAACGAGGUGCCAAAGCAUUCAUGCAGCUGCAUUAAUUAGUUGUACAUUGCCCCUAAUGUGUGGUGGUAAUAAUUGGCUCCAUCUAACAUCACACCAAAUAUCGUUACAUAAAGUGGUACGAAUUUAACAAUACGAUACAAUAAAAUUUAACAAACAAUCAAAAUAUUAUAUUUAAAGUAACAAUACAAUAUCAUACAAUAGGUAACAAUCAUCUUGUUUGGUAAGCGCUGCAACAGUGACAAGCUACUGCAUGUUACUCAAAAUUAUAUUCUUGUUGUCAACUAAUGCAAAUACCAACCAGUUCCAGAUGAUAGAGGCAGCAACAUAAGAGAAAAGAAAGUUAUCUUGUCCUACUCCAUAUCUGUAGGACCGUCAGUUCUCUGUUCAGUUACAGUUUCCUCCUGCAUCUCAUUAGCUUUAUCAUCGCCAUUUGUUACCAUCUUGUCUUCGUUGGCGUCCUUUAGCAGCAACAUCGUAAUCACCAAUAUUUAAAUCUGCAGGAAGCUGGCCUGACUUCAAAGAAAUGCCUACGUAAUUUUACAUAUCGUUAGUAAGCUUCUCAAAACAUGUCAGGAAAGAAAGGGAAGAUGACCAAGGUCUUCAUAAGGGAAAAAAUGACAGAUACACUAACUCCAGUAAAUCAAAACCCAUUUGUGUAUUAAUUGUUCAGCAAUACAACACAAGCUUCAAACGCGUGGAGUAUAAAAGCAAGGUUUUUAUUCCAGACAAAUGAAUUUUUACCAGGUAAAGUUUAGACAUCACUAUGCUAAGCCUAGGAAAUUGGCCAAUGUUUUUCAGUAGCUAAUGAACACAAACAUUACUGAGACUGUGUCCCCUAAGAGACCAUAGUGAAAUCACUUCUAGAUUGGCUAUACUACAAAAAGGGAAACGAAGGUGGAAAGUAAUGAGCGGCCAAGGCAAAACUAUCUUGGCCAGUACAAGUAAGGCGAAGGAUGAGCAGACGCAGCAGAUGAAACAACAUCAACUGCUCCUGAACCACGGCUCCUGUAUAGUUCAUUUGCUGUAACAGUAUCAGCAACCUGGUAGAUAUCAGAUGCAGAGCUCCGGCUAGCAACAUCACCAGGUAUUGCAUUUGGCAACCCCGCAGAACCCUCCAAGUAUGGUGGUGGCCUAUAAGCAUCACUAUGUGUGGCAUUUGGCAACCCUGCAGAACCUUCCAAGUAUGGUGGUGGCCUAUAAGCAUCACUAUGUGUGGCAUUUGGCAACCCCGCAGAACUUUCCAAGUAUGGUGGUGACCUAUGAGGAUCACUGGGUUGGCUGUUUGGCAAGCCCGUAGAGCCUUCCACGUAUGAUGAUGGCCUAUAAGCAUAGCUGCAGGAGGCCAGUCCGUCAUACACGGCUGCAUUCCCACGCCAUCCAUAUGACUGACCAGUAUGAAUCCCUAUUUGCCCAGGUGUACGAUCAACUAGAGUCCCUCCAUGACCUCCAGCAUAUGAAGCUCCUUGAUGAACAAUUUCCAUGCCUUCUGAUAUAUCUGCUUGAAUACCAUCGACACUUGCUGAUAUCCCUGCUCCAUCUCGACCCAUGGCCACAGUUCCUGCAAGGGAGCCAACAACAUUUUCAUGCAUCGAGCCGGCAACAGGUCCAUGCAAUACUGAUGAGGACACAGUAUAACCAUGAACAUGGCCAGCAUUUUGACGUUCUAGCAAGGUGCAGUCACUAUCAACAUGAUUAACAACUCUUUGCUUCCAUAGCCAUGGUGGAAUACGCGACCGUUUUGCUUCUUUAUUUCUGAACCUUCUCGACGACUCAGUUUCAUCACGUUUUCUCUUUUGUGCCAUCUUCCCACCUGUCUGCUUAUCUAAUUCAACAAUUUCUUUCUCCAACUUCAUUAUCUGCUCAUUGAUUUGCCAUCCAGGAAGAAGUUUUGAAGGAUCGGUAUCAUGGCGUUCCAAACAUUUGAUGAGAUAUUUCAGAGCAAACAAAUGCUUCCUUUUUGCUUCAUUCUGCUUAAUCAUAACAAAAUGCUUGGUUAACUUGAGAAAAGGAGGGCUAUUAGUGCUGGAAUGCAACAACAACAACAACAACAAACCCAGUGUAAUCCCAUAAAUGGGGUAUGGAUUAAUAGUGCUGGAAUGAAAUUCAAGAAUUACCACAGCAGCAUGUGAACCAUGUGAGUUUUCCUUCAUUUUCUUCAAUGACUCUUUAGUAUCUAGUAAAAAUGAUGUCAAAAGUCUCUGAGGAUUAAAUCUGUCCUCAAAUCCAAAAGUAUAGGCAAUAUGAACAGCGUCAACUUCCAUCUUUUGCUUCAGCAUCCCCUCUAUUAUUUCUGUCACAGAUUUACAUAAUCCAGUGUUAAGCAGACAGAUAAAUUAGCAAGUACGACAAGGUCAAAUGUAAUAUUUCUGAAAAAGAAAAGGUAUGCAAAACUGAAAAAAAAUCAUAGUAAGAUGCAAUAACAUAAUGAGGCUUCUUCUCUGAAACCACGAACUACGAAAACAAAUAAUCAGAAGGCGGACUACCGAGCAGAUUAUGAGGUUGAAAGGGUGUUCUUGACUUGAACUUUAAGUUUCCCUAAAGUGAAAAGUUGCCCCAUAGAAUGUGAAAAGAAAGAAACGACAAACAUUCUCCCGUCCCAGUAUUCACUGCUCGUUCCUGUCCAUAGGAUUUUCUAUUUCAAUUAUUAGCUUAGUUAAUUUUUCUCUCCAAUAAUGACGCCGAGAUAUUCCCCAAAUGCUUUAAUUUUUUGUCAUUCAAUUUCAGACAUUAAAUAUCGCUGCAUUCCAUAUUUGUGUCUUUGAGUCUCAAGUAAGCAUGAUCCUCCACCCUGGCUAGAGUUCUUUUAUUUUAUAAGGUAAAAGUUUAUUGAAACUAAAAGCCACCAGCUAUAAGAUAGUGCUCGGCUUCCAGAGAUUAUACAUCAUUGUUGUUCCUGCAGGGAGCUAAUAAACUCUAUCAACUUACCCUCAUCAUAUAUAUCAGCUAGAUUACACCAAGAAGCUAAGUUACGCAAACAUCUAAACUUCAACAUAUGGAUAGAGACACCUUUGUUUUCAAAUAUCUCUGGUUUCUCUCCAAAUAGUCCAAAAGAACACAACCUGGAAUAGACCUCCAAAUCUUUUUCAGCUCCUUGCUGCCUCUGUAGAACAACCAGCUAUUAAGAAACUCUUGCUGGGAUGACCCAUUUGAACCCAAAAAUAUUGAAAAAUAACUGUCAAAGUUGCCCAGUGACUUCACAGUGUAUAACAGAUGCUUACUGUCUUCAAAAUCUCUUUCACAAAAGAAGCACCUGCUGCACAUAUGAACACCUCUUUUCUGCAAAUUUGCUCGAGUUAAACGACCAUCAUGAGCCAAAACCCAGCAAAAGUAUGCCACUUCAUAUGGCACCUUGGAGCCCCAAAUAACCUUUCAUUGCCAAGAAGAUUAUACACCAAUUGCUUAAGCCAAGAAGAUAUAGCAAGAUUUAACUGUAAAUUAGCCAUUUUUUGCACAGCCCAGACCAAACGAUCAUCCUUAUCAUCUUCCAAUUCCUGGCUGAUAUUAUCAACACCAGAACCAGACUAUGUUUGGCCCGACCCAUUUUCUCUGUGACCUCUAGUUGUUUUUUGUCAAUAUUAGUUAGAGAUUAUAUUUCGGUUAUCCAUUUUAUUUUUGUUGCUUGUUUUCGGGGUAGUGUUUGCGUAGUGUCUCCUAGAUUAUAGUGGCUUUGGUGAACGAUGGUAGGAUAAGAUCUUGUCCUCGGGGGUGUCCUGGCGGGGGAAGGGGGCUAAGGGAGCCUCCCGGCUGAGAAAGGGGUCUUGGUACAUAGGAACUUUGACUGGAAAGUCUAUAGAGUUAGCAAGUAUUCUCGAAAAAAGGAAGAUUAAUAUAGCUUGUAUAAAGGAGACUAGAUGGGUAGGAGAUAAGGUGCGGGGAUGUGGGCAAAUUAAAACUAUGGUAUUCUAGAAGGCCGAGGGGCAGGAACGGGGUAGGUAUCUUGGUUGAUAAGGACCUCCAUGAUCUAAUGAUGGAGGUUAGGAGGGUGAACGACAGACCGAUGACUAUUAAGCUAGUUGUUGGAGGAAUUAUUUUGAACAUAAGCAUUGCGUACGCACCCCAAGCAAGCUUGGACGAGGAAGUCAAAAUGCGUUUCAGGGAGGAUUUGGAUGAGAUGGUGUGUGGUAUCCCGCACACUGAGAAGCUUUUCAUAGGAGGAGAUUUCAACGGCCACAUUGGAGCGAAGUCUGGGGGGUAUGAUGAUGUGCAUGGUGGCUUCGGUUUUGGAGAUAGGAACGAAGGAGGAACUUCUCUGUUGGACUUUGCGAAAGCGUUUAAUUUGGUGAUAGCAAACUCGAGUUUCCCGAAGAAGGUGGAGCACUUGGUCACCUUUCGGAGUUCGGUGGCCGUGACUCAGAUUGAUUAUCUUCUCUGUAGGAAGUCCGAUAGAGGUCUUUGCGCAGAUUGCAAAGUUAUCCCAAGUGAGAACCUCACGACCCUUCAUAGGCUCAUGGUCAUGGACCUUGAGAUCACGAGGAAGAGGGUGGUGUAUAGCCAACCUAGGAUCAAGUGGGGAGCCUUGACGGAAGCCAAAGUGCAGGAGUUGGGGGUUAAGUUGAUGACUAGAGGUCUUGGAGGAGUAGUGGGGACGCAAGUGCUAUGUGGACCACGACUGCGCAGUGUAUUUAGGGAAGCCGCUAGAGAGGUAUUAGGGAUCUCGAAGGGUUACUCUGGUGGAUACAGAGGAUGAUAACAUCCUAGGAAGCUCAAAUCUAUUCAAGGACAAGAAUGAAGCUUUGGAAUCUCAAAGAGCGCCUUUAACAAGAUGUCGAGCUAAAGAGUUGCCAAACAAGGUCAUUAGACUUCAAGUGCAAAUAAAGAAGUUGUUAAUUGGGAUGAAGAGCUCAAGGAUAAAGGAUAUGAAUUGGCUAGAUAUUACAAUUGUUUUAUGGCUCAAAUUUAUGUCCAAGAAGAGGAGGAUUGGAUCCCAAGAGACAUCCUUUGAAGAAGGUCCUAGUCAAUCCACUUUUGAACCAAUUUGGCACCUAAAAUGUGUCCAAACUUGCAGCCCAUGAAGUCCUACAUAAAGCCACGUUUUUAUAGUAUAAAAAGGACUUACUUGAUAUCCAAGAAGGAUAUAAUAGUCGUGCUAGAUGUUGAGUGCAAGUUGGUGCCAAGUUGCUUGCAAAUUUCCUUCAAGAUUUUCAAAAUUCUAUCCAAGAUUGGUUUGGGACUUAUUUUCAUAUAUUAUGGGAUUAUAUUUAUUGUUUUCCUAGUUAGUUAAGGUUAUGUUUUUUUUACUAAGAUUUUUGGAAUUACUUUCCAAGAAUGACUUGGUUUUUGCUUCCUAGAAUUUUCCUUUUCCUAAGGUAGUUGGACUUGUUGUCCAAAGUAGUUUAGGACUUUAUUUUCUUGUUUUUAGGCUCAAUUUCGUGACCCCUUACCUAUAUAAAGGGAUGUCUUUUUUGUUUUUAGACUUAGAUGAUUCAGACUAUUAUCAAUAAAAAUUGUGAGAUUUUUCUUGCACUCUUGUGUGUGGCUACUCUUGGAUUUAUUCUUCAACCUUCAAGACUCAACUUAAGGUGGUAAGAUUAAACUCUUUCGAAAUCUUAGAUCACUUCUAGGUAUUCAAGAAAGGUGAUAAGUUUAAGCUUAUUGUUGUUCUUGUUAUUCUAAAGGGUCGGGUUUCACAAUUUUAUCUCUUGUUUUUAAUUCUCUACCAAAGGCGAUUAGUUCUUUAUUAGCUAAUUGUUAUUGUUAGGAUUCAAUUUCAAGAAUAGACUUCUUGAAUUCAAGAAACCCUUUCUUGAAUUCAAUCUAUCUUUAAUUUUCCGUCCUUUUUCGUUUCUUUAUUUUCUUUUAGCUUCCGCACGUUUCUCGACUUUCUUGUUUUUCUUUAGUAACUCUUGAAUCCCCUAUCGUGUUGUUAUAGGAGACUUAUGGUGGAAUGGAGAGGUGCAAGGAAAAGUGGAAAUCAAGAAAGUGGUGUAUCCGAAGCUAGUAGAAAAUGUAGACGAGGAGGAGAGAAGGGUGAAUAAGGAGUGGUAUAAGUUAGCUAAGAAUGAGUCGAAAUUAGUAGUUAAGGCGGCUAAGACUGCAGUUUUUGGUCGUUUGUAUGAAGAACUCGAGGGCCGAUGUAGGGUAAGAGGUUGUUCAGGUUAGCCAAGGUGAGAGAAAGGAAGGUUUGUGACUUGGAUCAAGUGAAGUGCAUCAAGGACGAAGAAGGUAGAGUUUUGUUAGAUGAGAGGCUUAUCCGUGGGAGAUGGCAGACCUACUUCCAUAGUCUCUUGAACGAGGAGGGGGACAUGAACAUUGUACUAGGUGAUUUGGAACUCUCCGGGAGUCAUUGCGACUUUGGGUAUUGUAGGCGGAUUAGAGUUGAGGAGGUUGAGAGGGUUAUGCGUAAGAUGAGCAGGAGCAAAGCGACCGGGCCGGAUGAAAUCCCGGUGUAGUUUUGGAAGAGUGCGGGCAAGAUGGGCUUGGAGUGGCUCACUAGGUUAUUUAAUGUCAUUUUUAGAACGAAGAAGAUGCCCGAGGAGUGGAGGUGGAGCACGAUGGUUCCUUUAUACAAGAACAAGAGCGAUAUCCAAAAUUGCAAUCACAAUCGGGGUAUCAAGUUGCUUAGCCAUACUAUGAAAGUCUGGGAGAGGGUGGUGGAGCUAAGGGUGAGGAGGAGUGCGUCUAUUUCUGAGAACCAAUUCCGGUUUAUGCCAGGACGCUCAACUGCAGAGGUCAUUCACCUUGUUAGGAGUUUGAUGGAGCAGUAUAUGGAGAGGAAGAGGGACUUGCAUAUGGUGUUCAUCGACUUAGAUAAGGCGUACGAUAAAGUCCCGAGGGAGGUUUUGUGGAGAUGUUUGGAGGCUAGGGGUGUACCUGUUGCCUACAUUAAGGUGAUAAAGACAUGUAUGAUGGGCCUUAUCAAAAAAAAAAGAACAUGUAUGAUGGAGCGAAGACCCGAGUGAGGACGGUGGGAGGGGACUUGGAUCAUUUUCCGGUCAUGAUGGGGUUGCACCAGGGAUCGACACUCAGCACUUUUUUGUUUGCCCUAGCGAUGGACGUUCUGACGCGCCACAUCCAAGGGGAGGUACUGUGGUGCAUGUUAUUUGCAGAUGAUAUUGUAUUGAUUGACGAGACGCGAGGCAGUGUGAACGCGAGGUUAGAGGUGUGGAGGCAAACCCUGGAGUCUAAAGGUUUCAAGUUGAGUAGGACCAAGACAGGAUACUUGGAGUGUAAGUUCAGUGGUGAGACACAAGGAGGGGAAGGGGAGGUGAGUCUGGACGCAAGUCAUCCCUAGGAGAAGAAGUUUUAAGUAUCUUGGGUCUAUGGAUGAAAUGAAGACUCGCUUUUGGUGUUUUGUGUGACAAGAAGGUGCCACCAAAACUUAAAGGUAAGUUCUACUAGAAUGGUGGUCAGGCCGACUAUGUUGUAUGGGGCUGAGUGUUGGCUUGUGAAGACCACCUAUGUCCAGAAGAUGAAGGUAGCAGAGAUGAGGAUGUUGAGAUGGAUGUGCGGGCACACCAGGUUAGGUAGGAUUAGGAAUGAGGUUAUUCGCGACAAGGUAGAUGUGGCCCCUAUUGAGGACAAGAUGCGGGAAGCGAGGCUUAGGUGGUUUGAAAAUGUGAGGAGGAGCACAAAUGCCCCGGUGAGAGGUGUGAGAGGUUGACAUUGGAAGGCUUACGGAGAAGUAGAGGUAGGCCGAAGAAGAAGUGGGGAGAGGUGAGUAGGCAAGACAUGGUGCAGCUUCAGCUGUCCGAGGACAUGCCCCUUAAUAGGAAGGUGUGGAAAUCGAGGAUUAUGGUAGUAGGGUAGGUGGUCUAUAUUGUUCAUAUUGGUAGUAUUAGUACGCACUCUCGCAUUUUGUUGGUAGUAGGUUUCUUUGACCACCCAUAGUUUUCUUUCAUUUUGAUCAUCUUAUUAUCGUGUUAUUUUUAUGCUGCUUUUACAUGGCUUUUUGGUGUUGUCCCUCCUUGUCUUUUAAUUAGUGUGGUGCUUAUGUUUUCCUGAGACGAGGGUCUAUUGGAAACAACUUCUCUACCUUCAAAAAGGUAGAGGUAAGGUUUGCGUACACACUACCCUCCCCAAACCCCACAUCGUGGGAUGAUAUUGGGUAUGUUGUUGUUGUUGUAGAUUAUGCUUGCCCCAGACCAAAUGAUCAUCCUUUUCAUCUUCAAAUCCCUGCUUGAUAUUAUCAGCACCAGAUUAUGCUUUGGCCUAUAAACCAGUCACUUCCACAUAAAAGCACUUAUCGCACUAAUAAACAACUUAUUCAAUUGUGUUAUUCAAUAUUUUUUUUCGAUGAAGCAAGGUGUUGUGUUAUUCAAUAUUUGUAUACAAACUUCUUCUUUUUUUAUCAGAAAACUGUAUUUACAGACAUUUAUAUUCAUCGAAUUAGCUCAAAUGGUUGAGUGGCUCCUAGUACUUAAGAAAAAACACAAACGAAGCAGAAGCAACAACAAAAUGUAUAAACUCAUUGAAGUUGGCUCAAUAAGUUGAGUUGCUUCUAACACCUACCAAAAAACACAAACGAAGCAAAUGAAGAAAUAACCAGUGAAUUAGACCAUCCAGGAUCAUAAAAUUGUAAGCAUGAUCCUUCCGGUCAACUAGCAACUGUGUAAUACAGUACUAUUCCCAAUGAACCUUAUCACGUAUAUUUGAGUCAACAGUCUUGCAUGAUUUUUUCAUUUAUGCACGAGAUCUUUUUAAAAAAGUUUUAGAAUCCAUGCAAGAUUAGAAAAGAUUUCUCUUUUGGUUGUUUGCUCGCAUAUACAUAUUUUAGCAUUUCCUUAGUUUCAAUAUAAUUACCAAUUCUAAAUAAUUGUUCCGUUUAAGAAGUUCUAUGCAUGAAAUCUUAGCCAGGAAAGAUAUGAAUCAAAUGAACGAUAGCUACGUUCUUAUACAAAAAUAUAAUCAUCAUCAUGGAUUAUGAUUCAUUGUGGACCAACUGUAGAAGGACCUUAGAGGAUCCGGGAAGCUGUUGUCCUCAAAGACCUACUUAUGGUCCAAAAGUACUAGAAGAUGGGGAUUCUGGUGCUCAGACAACUGUUUGUGAAAUCUCAAACAAAAAUUGGCAUUUCAAAUUGGAUAAAUGAACAUGGUGGGAGCUCUUCGUGUCUCUUUGGGGCAUGAUGAUGGAAAAGGCAAAAGUGCCUUUGAAGCUAGUGAGAUGAAUAAAAAGGGCAGGACAGGAGCAGGAGGAAAGCAACAACACAAAAUUGUGGUAGGCACCAGUAAAUAGAAGGCAAGGAAAACCUUUUUUUUCUUUUGUUUGAUAAGUGCGUUUUUUCCCUCCAAAAGAACAGUACCAAGCAAGUGCUGAUGGUCUCCAAAAAUACAGCAGAUGUGUUCUCCCUCUAAGUAUGCAAGGAGCUCAGGAAGUCUUUCAUAGAGUUCUUUAAGGUAAUGCUGAGUUAGGGAAGCUUCAUGCACGACAAUCCGACCAAAUGAAACCACUUCUAAAGGUAUAAUGUUUUGCCCUAGAUUUUUAUCACCACUGUACAUUAGGCAUUUAUUUGUUGCUUCUACGUAAUUUUGCUUCAAUCAGACCCUAUCAAAGGGAACGGCACUAAACUUGUCAACAGCACGCACCAUCUCACAUGAAUAGCAAAUGAUGAAAUGCAAAUGUAGCUUAAUGACAAAUUGGAUUCAUGAAAAAGGACCUGGAAUCUUUGCCACGAGGACAUUUGAUCUCCGGAGGGCACGAUAAUACCGCUUGAUGCAACUUACCUGAAGCAAAUCCCUGAUAUCUUCAUUUCUAAAUCCUCCUGGAAUCCCGAAACACGCAAUAAGCAUCAACAAACCCCGGGCAUCAAUUUCCUUAGCCUUAAGUACACCUCCUUCGGCAAUCAACCUCUUUCUCCAAGCUAAAGCUGCCCGCUCCGCCUCUUGCUUCACCCCUUUCUCAAUCUCGUCGUUGAUUCCCAUCAACAAGAAGCAUUCCAAAACUAAUACAGAAGCCAGCCUUGAACGGACCAUGUGUGAGUACUUAACAAACACACUGCCCUUUUGAGAAUAAAACUUGCCGACACAUUCCAAUACAAGCCUUGCUGGAUUGGGGGAGAGUCUCAAUGCCUUAGGGACUUGUUCCAGCAGUCCUUUUAUAUCUGAGAGAUGCAUUCCCAUGUACCUCCGUAGAUGACGACCACUCAUCAUUUUGCAGAGGCUCUCCAGCUCUGCAAGAUGAGCGGAUUUCAGCUCUGGAUGAGGAGGGGAUUUCACUUCUUCUUCCUUUUCUUUUUCUUCUCCUUCUCCUUCUCCUUCUACUUCUUCUUCAGAGGGGUCAGAUUCCCAAGAUGGUUCCGGCUCUGCGGCUGGGGCUGGUGGCGGUAAUGACGUGGGUAAAGGAGUAGUAUUGGUUGUAAGUGGGGGAAGCAUAGAGUCGAUUAUGGUUCGAAUUGAGUCAAUGUGUUGAUAUAGGUCAGCGAAGCAGCGUUGGAAUGCUGAGAGGGAGUCGGUGAGUUUGCGGAGAUUGGAAAUUGAGUCAUCCUGGGAAUGUGUUGGUGGUUGCUGAAAUUCCGACUGUUUGGUUACAUUCUGCAGCGAAUCGUUAAGUGUUUGUUGUGAUUGAGGUGUCGCAGCUGCGGCGGUAUCUGCUGGUUUAGCCAUAGUCGGAGUAGAACUGAUGAGAAUUGACAAUCGACAAGAAUCAGAAAUUCCUAAUGCGUCUCUGAUUGUUGAUUCACAAUCCUCUUCCUGCAAUCCACGCCUUCGUCAUUUUCUUUUAGUGUGUUUACAUGGGCUUCUUUCGGGUACAGCAACUCAGUUAUUUGUAAAAGGAAUUUUUACAUUAUAUGAAUAGGAAUUUUUACAUUCCUUAUACAUUAUGUCAAAUUAUAUUACCAUUCAUACUCAAGUUUUAGUAUAAUUACAUUUUAUAUACCCAGUUACUAUUUAUGUACAUUUUAAGAGAAUUAAUAAUAAUAAUUAGUGUCGUAAAAUUACUCUAACAUAUCUUCCACUCCCCCAUAUUUCUCUCUUCACAUCCCACCCCCUCCCCACGUAUCUUGCACAAGAGAGCAGCAAUUCCACCAUUGACAAUCAUUAAAAAGUUUUGAAGCUUUGAAUUCGAAUUUAGGUUUUCAAAAAUCAUUAUUUGUUUGGAUUGGGUGUUGUUGCAAAAAAUUGGGAAUAUGGUUUGAAGUUUAUAUCUUAANNNNNNNNNNNNNNNNNNNNNNNNNNNNNNNNNNNNNNNNNNNNNNNNNNNNNNNNNNNNNNNNNNNNNNNNNNNNNNNNNNNNNNNNNNNNNNNNNNNNNNNNNNNNNNNNNNNNNNNNNNNNNNNNNNNNNNNNNNNNNNNNNNNNNNNNNNNNNNNNNNNNNNNNNNNNNNNNNNNNNNNNNNNNNNNNNNNNNNNNNNNNNNNNNNNNNNNNNNNNNNNNNNNNNNNNNNNNNNNNNNNNNNNNNNNNNNNNNNNNNNNNNNNNNNNNNNNNNNNNNNNNNNNNNNNNNNNNNNNNNNNNNNNNNNNNNNNNNNNNNNNNNNNNNNNNNNNNNNNNNNNNNNNNNNNNNNNNNNNNNNNNNNNNNNNNNNNNNNGAAACUACGAAGAAGAAGAAGAAGAAGAAGAAGAAGAAGAAGAAGAAGAAGAAAAAGAAGAAGAAGAAGAAGAAGAAGAAGAAGACGUGAUAUACAUUAUACUGCAGAAAUUGUAGUAAAAUUGUAUUCUGUUGUUUAUAUAUUUUUUAUUUAUUUAUUUAACUAUUGUAUGAAAGUUGAACUAUAUUGUAUAAAAAUUAUAUUUAAGUUGUAUGAUAUUGUAGUUGUAUAUAACUGACUAGAAAUAAUGUACGAAAAUUGUAGAUAAGUUGUAUAAUAUAUAAUUAGUUGUAUGAAAUUUAUUUUUACUAUGUAUAAAUCAGAUACAAAAUAUACAAAAGACAUAUUGUAUAAAAUUUGUAUUUAAGUUGUAUGUUAUUGUAGUUGUAUUUAACUGGAUAAAAAUAAUAUGUGAAAGUUGUAGAUAAAUUGUAUAAUAUAUAAUUAGUUGUAUGAAAUUUGUUUUUACUAUGUAUAAAUUAGAUACAAAAUAUACCAAAGACAUUGUAUAAAAUUUGUAUAAAAAUUGUAUUUAAGUGGUAUUAUAUUGUAGUUGUAUAUAACUAGGAGGUGAGAGAGGCUUUGGCAAAGGUGUCUUCGUCGACGUACACUGCUUUCUUCACGUGUAGCUUUUGGAGAGAAUCCAGAUUUGACGCCAUCUUCGAUAGAUUUCCGAUCGCAGCUGCUAACCUUAUAAUUGCCAAACAAUUGCUGGAGGGUGACCCCAAAUAUAUAUCUCCCGUGAAUCUUAAACAACUUAGUGAUCUCUAAUUUCCUUAAUUUUCACAAAUUGUCUUGUAUUAUGUAAAAUUAUCCAUGCCCCUGUCGAAGGACUAAUCUUCCUAUUUGCAGAUUCCUUGUUUCUUUUGUUUACAUGAUUGUUUUACUGUAAGAGGUUUCUUUGAUUAUAAUUAAAAAUAUAUUGUGGAAGAGAAGUAACGACAAGUUCUCUCUAUUUUCCAAUUGUCCGUCCUUGUUUAAUUUUCAUUCUCUAAUUGCAGUAUUUGGACUUGUUGACAAUCCUGAAUGUGACAAAGAUUGGAAGUUUAUUAUUAAGUAGGUUUGACCAAACUCAGCUUAAUCUUAGAAUGCAAUUUUGGCCUAAGCAGGCAGACCAAUUAUUUUACCAAAUACUAUCGGGGGGAGGCAGAAUUGGAAAAUAAACAUUCAUUUCAUCUUAUUCACGUUCAACAUUUCCUUCUUCUUGAAUUCAAGAUGGACUUCCAUAUUCAAAUUUUUCUCAGAGUGCUCAGUUUUACUAUACUUUUGUAUUUUAUUAAUUAUUGACAAAUUUUCAGUUGUACUUUCUUCUUCUAUUUUUCAUCUGGAUCCUAUCAACUAGGAGAGUCUUCAGAUUACGCUUCUUGUAGUUGAAAUCACGAUCGACUAAAUUAAAUUAAAUGAGAAUGUGAUUAAUAUUGAUAAGCGAAAAAAAAAACAUACGAUAUGGAUCAUCAGUUCUAGCUAUUUUGCAUCUAUCAAUUAGUAGUUUUUAGGUUGUCAAUCCUCCCUUAAUUAAAGGCACUAAUAAUGGAUUGGGAGCCUUUUAAGGUGGAAUGUAUAUAUUUUGUAAACAAAACUUGUGUAGGUAGGGUAAUUUACUAAACAUGAACAUUUGGAGUAAUAAAGUUUCCAAUAGUGUAUAGGAAUGAAAAAAAUCUCUUUGUAAAAAUAGCACGGGCUAGUCAGUUUUUGGAUCAGUCAUUGAAAAAUAACUAGCAUUUGUAAAGUCAUUAAAAAUAGCCACUAUUUUGCUGCAACGCGGAAAGUUCCAGCAUAAUAUACUGAAGAUUGAUAUACUUGUGUAUAAACUUCCAACAUAUUAUGCCGGAACUCCAACACACGGAAUGUUGCAGCAUAAUAUAUUGGAGAUUGGAGUAUCUAUGUAUGAACUUCAAGCAUAUUAUGUUGGACUAGUAUAUUAUACUGGAAGUCCAGUAUAUAUAUUGUGCUGGAAUUCUAGUAUAUUAUAUUAGUAGUGCAAUAUAUUAUACUAGAACUCCAGUAUAUUAUGUUGGAAUAUUUUUCGGAUUUUUGAACAGUAUUUUAGUUCAGAUUCUUUACGUGAAAAGUGGCUAAAUUUCGAUUACUUUUGAAACUAUGACUAUUUUUCAACUACCACUUGUAAAUCAAGCUAUUUUUUAAUUUCACCGGAGUUAUUUGCAUUAUAUUCCUAUAUUUUUAUAAUAUGCUGAAGAAAACUUAUUUUAUUAAGUGCAAGAAAUUACUUCUUAUAUACUGAAAUUGGAUUGAAGUCUGAAAAUUUGUCAGCCAUUAUAAUGACUUAAGACCUUCACCAUAUGAUAGAAGAAUUGGGGAUUGCUUGCCAAGCAAUGCCAUAACUUCUCAUCUAUUCUCAGCAACUAAGAUCCAAAACAAGCCUUUGUUUCCCGUCAACACGAGGGAGUUCUCUCACCCAUUGUUAAGAACAUAUGAUGUGACUACACUCGCAUCUCCCUCUUUAGAAUCUUGAAGAGUGAAUCCAAUAAUUUAUCUAACGUUUCCCUUCCUCCCACUACCUUUGGCUCUUUACCAGGGAAAGCAUAACAUUCUUUCCAAGGAAACAUAAGUUUCUUGAAAUUUUCAUUCGUAAGACUUUAAAAACAACGAAGAGGAUCAUUUUAUUCAAUUGAGGACAUAUAAUCCGACAAAGAACUUCUGUUAAGAAAUAGAUAAACAAAUCGUCUCUCCAGCAUGGCACAUCAGUGAAAGAAAAACAAAUUAAUCAUUCAUGAUGAGAAGUGAGAAUUAAACUCUCUUCCACAACUUCUCAUCCAAUAUCAACGAUAUUCAAAAUUAGGAAGUGUCCAAAGGACCAAAUAUAAAGUCUGUCAAGUAAAUUGUGUAUCCAAGAAGCUUGUGUAUGGGCUAUCGAACAGAAAAUAGUCGAUUGCAAUUUGUACAAAGAUACUGCGAGUACAACACAUGCAGACCAGUCAGGAACAUAUCAUACUGCCUAUAUGUGGAAUUCGCACCAGCACUACCAAUUAAUAGCCCUUAUUUCCCCGAAUUCGAGCUCUCAUGUCCACCUGAAACAGAAAAUUGUUGGUCAGACAGUGUGUUGACAAGCACAAGAUAGGUCAAUAUCACAGUGCAUAUAUCGGAUCCAGCUGCCAGGAAGCAUGUAAUGUUACUUAAGGUUAUAUGGGAAUCAACGCAUAAGUAACCGAAGUUCACAUGGCGCAUCAGAUCCUCCAGCAUAACAAAGUUUUACUCCUAUCAGCUUUGUUUUUGGUAAUACCACACAAAAAUGCAAUGUAUGUCAUUGCAAUUGUGCAUUACAUCAUAAGAAGAACUUCUGGAAUUGUCAUUGUAAGACUAAAGCACUUGAGCACCUACCUCAACAGUGAAAUAUGCACACCUAACCAAAUGCAUGAUAUACCAAGCCAAGAUAAACCAUUAUAGUGUUCACAUCACAACAUUAUCCAGAAUCAGAAAUCAUAAAUUAAUGCACAAACAUGGAAAACUACUCUCCUAGCUUGUCCACAAAAUAAUUGGUACCUAGAAGAUGAUUCAUGUCAGUCUUCCUGGUUUGGGAAUAAGUCCUCAAACAACUUGAAUAUCAACAUACAUAAGUUUUCCUCAUACAGUGGCCAACUCCCAACUAUUACAGGAUCAUAGAAUACAAACAACAAAAGUUUAUCUCCGGCCGAAUGAUUUUAGGGUAAGUAUCCAAAGACAGAAAAUCAAAACGCAAAUUGUAAAUUUUCAUCACGAUUUUUUAGUAUGUAAGGUACCAUCACAUUAUUUUAACUAAAAAUUUUCCCUUUCAGAAAUCACAUUAUAUCCAAGUGCAAAACUAUUAAAUUACCAAAUGAUGAGUAAAUGUAAAACCAUCAAAGAUAAACAUAAACUUAAUAUUCACAACUUCUUAUGUACACGAGUCUCUACAAAUAGAGAUAAAAUUACAUAGACUUAAUGUUGAUACAUUCUCCAAAAUUCUAAAUGCACGAGCAUAAACAAAAAGAAAGGUCAUACAAAAGCAACAAGAUGGCCAAGGUUACAGAAUAAAGCCGCCCUUUAUUAAAAAUUAUAUUAUUAUAUUAUUUUUAAUAAUAUAAAGGGGGUUCCAACAUAUUAAUAUAUAGUGAAGUGUUCCCCUAGAUUCAGAACUUUCUCUCAAUACUCUCCUUACUUAGUUUGAUAGUAAGUAAGAUAUUCACAUAAAUAAUUUUAUAGCAAAUGACUAUUCAUCUAUUGUAUUUUCAUGCAAAUAGGGGGCAAGAAAACUCUAUGGAAAGAUGGUUUAAUUCGAUGUUGUUUAAGAAGGAGUUCGAUACAUUUUACGAAAGGCAAUUAUCCUAACAAUAUUGACAUAUAUGUAUCCCAUAUCAUCUUUAAAGUAGAACAAUAGCUCAUUAACAUCACAACAAAGUUGAAUAGGAUGACUUCGUUCUCCUUCUAGUCAUUCUUUCAACAUGUGUGGCACUUUGUUAUUGCUCUUACCUUUUAGCUAUUCUCAACUCAACCAUGCAAGGCAAAGUUAGAAACACAUGAUUGAGUCCACAUUCCUCUCAUUAAAAGAUGUAUCAACUGCAUUUACUAAUUCAUCAAUGAUUGAAGGAGUCAUUGACAUUGAAGGGAUUGAAUAGCUCUAAAGAAUCCAAAAUCUAAAACAUUUAGAUCUGGAUAUUGGGAAGUUGAACGCAUAGCUGAAAAUAAAAUUUACCUUGUCACGCCUUCAUAAAAAAGAAAUCACAUUGCUAUGCAGCUUCAUUAUAUUUUAAACCAUUGACAUUAAUGUGACGUCUAAUAUUAUCUAGUUGAAUAAAGAUAAGAACAUUUGAAUAUGAAAUUGGUCAUCUUAACCUAAUCAUUUAUCAUUUGAAGAACAUUUUGCAAUUCAGCAAGCCCUAAUGGUAUAUUUAGUCAUAGGAAAAAUAGGUUUUAUUUCCAAACUACCUACAGCUCGAUUUUACUAUUCUGUUUAGUUGUCUCCUUGAUCACGAGAGAAAAUUCAUAUUUCUACUGAAAACAACCCAACUCCAUUUUGAUAAAAAUUAGGGCUUGCAAUAGCAGCAAUAAACAUAACAAUUAUAAAGAAGUUCUUACUUUUACGUGAUCCACACGAGUCAAACUUUUGUUCUUCAGGGAUAGGAUACUAAUAUCAAAUCUGUUGAAAAAUCCGUUUUCAUCAAUAUAAACAUAAUUAAACAUAUCUAAAGAUAUUGGAUUUGAAUAGAGUGUAUUCAGCUUAAUUAUUAAUAAAGUGAAUUGGAGCCUUACCUUUUGAUUUUUUCUAGGCUUUAUAGCAUUCAUAUGUUGCCCAAUAGCACCUUCUUUGAUAUGCCAAAAAGAGUUGUUGACAUUUCCAUGGCACAAGCACAAGCUAAAGAUCUAAUAUCUGUUCGACGAUUAAGAAGAGUUUUUUUUUUAACAGAUUGAUACCGGUUUCAACUCAUUUCCUCCCAACUUUACCGGCAGGAUUCGAUGAUAUGAUAUCGAAUGUUACAAGAAGAGUUGGGAGGAAAAAAAAGUUAAAUUAACAUUAAUCUGAUAAAUGAAGAAACUUUUGAAUUCUCAUAAAAUGUAAUUAGUUGGGAGCUUGCUCCUCAACUUUCGUAAUUUGGUUGUACCCUCUUGUUACUACAAUUAAUAAAUACCUUACCUUAAGAAAAAUCUUAAAAAUGAAACUCUUCUUUGUCUUCGACUAGAUAUUCAAACUUUAGCUUGUGUUAUAGACACGUCAAUGACAACUCUUUCUCGACAUAGCAAAGAAGGUGUCAUUAGGAUACAUACCAACGCUACAAAGCCUUAUUUGAAAGAGGAAAACAAGAGGCUAAGGCUCCAAUUAUGUCUAUCAAUAUUGAGCCGUACACUCUAUUCAAAUUCAUUGUUUUAAAAUAGUUUAAUUAUGUUCAUACAAAUAUGAAAGGUACUAUCUUGUUUUAUAUAACCGAGAAAUCCCUAAAGGCGUACCUCACGGUUCAAAAUUCGAUGAACAAUAGGUCUGCCCCGCUACUUUUCUCCACUUAAAUACUAAGCUUUUGUCUAC